rnacentral:rRNA from 1 species
AGAGUUUGAUCAUGGCUCAGGAUGAACGCUAGCGGCAGGCCUAAUACAUGCAAGUCGAACGGUAAGGCCUUUCGGGGGUACACGAGUGGCGGACGGGUGCGUAACGCGUAUGCAACAUACCUUCAAGCGGGGGAUAUGCCAGGGAAACUUGGUGCAACACCCCAUAGCAUUUCGGGACCGCAUGGUCUUGGGAUUAAAUAUUUAUAGCUUGGAGAUUGGCAUGCGUGACAUUAGCUAGUUGGCGGGGUAACGGCCCACCAAGGCGACGAUGUCUAGCUGGUCUGAGAGGAUGAUCAGCCACACUGGGACUGAGACACGGCCCAGACUCCUACGGGAGGCAGCAGUAGGGAAUAUUGGACAAUGGGGGGAACCCUGAUCCAGCCAUGCCGCGUGAGGGAAGAAGGUCCUCUGGAUUGUAAACCUCUUUUGGCGGGGGACAAACCUGCACUAUACGUGCAGCUGAGGGUACCCGCAGAAUAAGCACCGGCUAACUCCGUG